rnacentral:snRNA from 1 species
GGAUGUGAAAGGGACUGGGUUGGACUGUCUGUCACCCCUUUGAUCACCAGGGUUAAUUUGGAUAAUUGGGUUGGCUAGGUCAUAUCCCUUUCCCUCAUUCCUCCACGUGUCCCUCUUGAAGCUGCAUGCUUGGUUGAAAAGGUUGGUCUUUCCUAAUAGAAGAGGACAGUUUCCUGGUCAAGGAUAUCUGUGUAGCUCAUUCCUUUGCUAGAACCUUCAAACUCCCAAAGAAAAUCUGUAGAGACUAGAAGAACUUUAUUUUCGGACUCCUGAAGGCACGGGUAUUC